GAUGAACGCUGGCGGCGUGCCUAAUACAUGCAAGUCGAGCGAACGGACGCGAAGCUUGCUUCUCUGAUGUUAGCGGCGGACGGGUGAGUAACGCGUGUAUAACCUACCUAUAAUACUGGGAUAACUUCGGGAAACCGGAGCUAAUACCGUAUAAUAUUUUGAACCGCAUUGUUCAAAGGUGAGAGACGGUCUUGCUGUCAGUUAUAGCUGGAUCCGCGCUUCAUUAUCUAGUUGGUAAGGUAACGGCUUACCAAGGCAACGAUGCAUAGCCGACGUGAGAGCGUGAUGGGCGACUCUGAAAGUGACAGGCGGCACAGAGUCCUACGUGCGGCAGAAGUAGCGACUGGUCCGAGAAGGGCGAAAUCCUGCCGGAGCAACGCCGCGUGGGUGAUGAAGCGCUGCGGAUCGUAAAACUCUGUUAUUGGGGAAGAACACAUGUGUAUGUAACUGUGCACAUCUUGACGGUACCUAAACAGAAAGCCCCGGCUAACUCCGU
rnacentral:rRNA from 1 species